UCCCAGUGAAUUUUUAUAGAAAAGCAGGUUAUAUAAAGGAUUUGGUGAAGCAGGGUUCACUUCAGAUCUUUAUGAGGGUGGAUUGGCACAAGCAAAUCCAAUAAAGGAGCAUCUAACAACAACACAGUAGACCAACGCAGUCAACAAAUACACUAUCUAAUUAACUACAGUAAGAGCACUUUAUCUCCUGUGUUGGACUAACCUCUUCAUCACAUGAGGCUUGGGCUCCAUUCUACAAUGCUCCCAGGACAGAGCUCGACAUGACACAGGGCUUAUUCUGGUGGGGCUUCAUCCUGGCAGUGUCAUAAGAUGGAGUCCUGAGAACAUGGAUGGCUACCCCGUAUUCUCAUUAGACUCCUCAGACCCAGACCAUUGGAUUGGCUGACAACCCUGACUUACUUACAGACCUUCAGACUGGUCUGACUUCUCU
rnacentral:lncRNA from 1 species